UACGUAGGGUGCAAGCGUUGUCCGGAAUUAUUGGGCGUAAAGAGCGUGUAGGCGGCCAGAUAGGUCUGCUGUGAAAACUCGAGGCUCAACCUCGAGACGUCGGUUGAAACCGUGUGGCUAGAGUCCGGAAGAGGAGAGUGGAAUUCCCGGUGUAGCGGUGAAAUGCGCAGAUAUCGGGAAGAACACCCGUGGCGAAGGCGGCUCUCUGGGACGGUACUGACGCUGAGACGCGAAAGCGUGGGGAGCGAACAGG
rnacentral:rRNA from 1 species